ensembl:lincRNA
ACUAGAACUGUAAAGCUCUUAGAAGAAAACAUGAGAAUUUCACCUAGAAUAAUAUCUAAAAAAUAAGAAGCAUUCAAUCAAUGCCAUUUGUCUUGUGAUUGUCAUUGUUGUUGUUUUCAUGGCUACCUACCAACCAAAAUUCCUAGGGUUGACUGUAGGCCCAUGACAGACCAAUUAGUGUUUUUGUAUUCAAUUUUUAAAACUUUAUUUUUGCUUUAAUGUAUUUUUUCCUGUUUUAACAGGUCUUUUGUGAAGACUUUGAAGUUGCAGGUUCAUUCUGCCGCCAUAUACGUAACAUUCUAAGAGGAGUCUAGGGCCCCCAAGGAUACAGAGAUCACAAAUGGAUAUAUGGAUUCAGGGAGGAACCUGAAUCCAUAUAUCCCUGAAGAAAGGAAAACUACCCACCAAGUAGGAACCACUUACGCUGAAAUGAACUCAGAACUCAUGCCCUUACACAUCAGGAAAUUGAAACUGGGGGAAAAAAUCCCCCAGCAUUCACUCUCAUGUUCCGAAAGAUUUCAAACACCAAGGCAAGAAGAUCAUAUCACUUUAUCUUGGAUUGUGUGUCUAGGUUACUGUGGACAGCACUUUCAGGAGGAGAGGGUUUCACUGGUGCCUUGAGAACCUUUGACAUCUGUUUGCAGCUCGAAAGUCCAUGGAGCACCUUUAUGACCAAUAAAAGAGAAGGACCAAUGUAUAAAUAUUUUUUUCUUCUCUGAGGAUGGGCAAUUCUGAAAUGCAUUGCAUAAAGCAUCAAGUUAAUAUUUAAUCAGUUGAAGUAUAAGAUAUUGCAACUCCCACAUACCUGGCUUAAGGCAGGAUACAAAGGCAUAGAAUAGAAAUUGAAUCUGAGAACAUCCAAAAAGAUGUCAUGAGUCUCAUUGUUUUAUGGACUCUGGCCAUAAAACAAUGAGACUCGUGAAGGUAUAAAAAUCAUGAAUAGUUUUCAUAAUUCUCCUUCUCCAAGGCCCCAAACAAAUCCUUUCACUUCCUGAAGGAACCAAUUGACUUUUUCUUUUUCUCAAGAUUGUCAAGAGAGAUUUUUAUCCUCCCAGACUUGAAUGUCUUCUGAUUAGAGAAAUAUCUGCCCAAAAAACGUCAAAAAAGGAGAAAAAGAAGAACCUAAGGAACAUGAACGUGUCAUAGAAAUUUCUCUCGGUGGUAACCCAGCCUCAAACGGACCAACUGUGUGCAAAGCUGUUCCCCAUUUUCCUAAAGGAAAAAUGCUGCUCUUAACAGUACUUAUUUUUCAGGGGGCCCAAUUUCAGAUAUGUUGGUUUUGGCAGGCUUCUGCUCAAGCUGUAUUUUUUUCCUACUGAAUUACAGUAAGAACUAAGUAUUAGAGGCUGUAAUUAAAGGUUGGUGAGGCAAAACUGGAAAUGUGCUCAAUGGGCUGCACUCAGAUCCACCUGAUCCGGAUACAUCAAAAUAUUGGUCAAAACUCCCCAUUUAUGAAUCAGCUCAGUUCUGGACUGAAGAGAAGCUUUUGAGACCCUCUGGAUGCUUUCUCCCAGGUUCUCUGUUAUGGGUUGAAUUGUCAUAGGUCUUCAUAAAGGUUAUUAAGUUAUAAUAAGGCCAAAUGGUUGAGGCCCUAAUUCAGUAUGUCUAGUAUUGCUAGACAUAAGAACAAAAGACACCAGGAUGUGCACACACAGAGGAACGGCCAUGUGAAGACACAGGAAGAAGCCGUCAUCUGCGAGCCAAGGAGAGAUGCCCCAAGAGGAACCAAACCUAAUGACACUAUGAUCAUGGACUUCUAGUCUUUGAACUGUGAAACAAUCAAUCUCUGUUUUUUCAGCCACUCAGUCUGUGGUAUUUUGUUCUGGCAGCCCUAGCUGACUUGGAUAGUCUCCCAUGGUGAAGGUGCCCUGUGGGCCAGGCAGAGAUUCUUGUUCCCAGAGCAUGGCAUGGCCUUUCCUGUCUACUGGCUUUUGCAUGUGAUACUCAUGUCAGUAGGAUACCCUCCUUUAUUUCUUCACAUAUCCAAAUCCUACUGUCUUUCCAUGGAAAGGGAAAGCCCCUACACUACUGGUAAACUGGUAAGCAUAAGCUUUUAUAGACCUUAUGAGGAGAAAAUUUGAUAAUACCUAUUAAGAGCCUUAGAAUGUUUAUCCUCAGAUAGAGUGACUCCAUUUUCUGGAAUUUAUCUUAAAAAAGUAUUAAAGAUGUGUCCAAAGAUUAAGCUAUAUGGAUGCUCAUCAAAAUAUUUUGAGUACUGCAAAACUGGAAAUAUCUAAAUGACCAACAGAAGACAAAGUAACAAACUCGUUAAAAUGAUGCUGCUUAAGUGUAUUAUUGCAGAAAUAUGCUAAAUAAAGCAUGGUAUUAAGAAAAAAGCAAGUAAUAUAAUUUUAAUACAUAUAUUCAUAUAGAAAUAGUUCUGCAAAAAUAUAUGCUAUCAACAAUUUGUAUGUAUAAUAAACAUCAUAUUUUAUUUUAUUUAUUAUUUAUUUAUUACACUUUUUGUAGCGACAGGGUCUCCCUAUGUUGCCCAGGCUGACCUCAAACUCCUGACCUCAAAUGAUCCUCCUGCCUGAGCCUCCCAAGAUGCUGGGAUUACAGGAAACAAAUAUACAUCAAGUUAUCAGCAAAGAUAGCAGCUGCUUGGUUUGCUUAUGAAGUUUUUGUUUUGCUUUGUUUUUGCCUUCUUUGAUAUAAUUUUUCUGCAAUAAACAUUUGUUGCUUUAAGAAAAGUAGUUCUCCUUUCCAAAAAAUAGAAA